GACGGAGGAUGCAAGCGUUAUCCGGAAUGAUUGGGCGUAAAGCGUCCGCAGGUGGCAGUUCAAGUCUGCUGUCAAAGACCGGGGCUUAACUCCGGAAAGGCAGUGGAAACUGAACAGCUAGAGUAUGGUAGGGGCAGAGGGAAUUCCUGGUGUAGCGGUGAAAUGCGUAGAGAUCAGGAAGAACAUCGGUGGCGAAGGCGCUCUGCUGGACCAUAACUGACACUCAGGGACGAAAGCUAGGGGAGCGAAUGGG
rnacentral:rRNA from 1 species